UUGAAGGGACCUCAAAGCUCACCCAGCUCCAACCCCUGCCACGGGCAGGGACAUCUUCCACUAGAGCAGCUUGCUCCAACCACUCUCACCCUUGGCUAGAGUCUGGAAUCCCAGUCACUGUUCCCAACAUUAUUCAUUUUGUUACCUGCUAAAACAGACUUUAUUUCAAUUCCUGUGAAUUCUGUGCAGUACACAUCGCUAAACCUAUAGAACACACCUCAAAACGAAAGGGUUGGGUUGGUUGUUUCUUUUGUCCAUACAUUAUAUUACUUUUUAUUGAAUGUCAUCCAAAAUCCAGACAACACCUUUGUCCUUAAAUAAACGUUUCUCCCUCCCCUGCCCUCCCUUCCAAGCUGACUGGUCCGAAAGAGGACGUUUUAUUUAGUUCUUUGCUUUGCUUUAAAAAAAUAGAAAUUACAAUCUUACACGACAGAACAUUCCAUGAGAACAGAAGCAUCUGCCUACAUCUAAAAACAGUUCCAGAAAACCUGUUGGUAUCUACAGUGUGAGGGUUCUGGAGGUGGAAAUGCACACUCAGCUAAACUGCCAGAGCGAACAAACACAAAAUGCAUCUGUGUCUGGACAAGAGCCAUCCCUGGCGCUGAGGCUGCCCCGCUCACAGGAACCACCGGACAUCACAGGUCAGCGCGAUGGCAACGACCCCGAGACACCAAGGACCCGAAGCUGGGGGGCUGGGGGCUCCCAUCCAUCAUCUCCCCCAGCCCCACGCAGCUCCGGUGCAGGGAGAGUGGAAAUCUCCCUUUUCCAGGCAAUUUCUACCCAGGGUUUUCCAUUCGCUCCUUCCCUACAAGCUCGAUGCCUGCCUCUGCAGAGCCACUGCUCUCGGUGGCACAGGGCGAGCGUGAGGGACCUUGGCACAGCCACCGUGGCUGAAAGCAGGGGCUGCAGCCCCAGAGGUGCUCCGGGGGUCCCUGUCACCCCUUCCAACGCGUGCCACCCGUGCCAGGCAGGAGACAAGUCGGUUCCUGUAAAGAGAACUUCAAAGUGCAGGUUCCCACAGUUUGGCAGGUUGAGUUACACACGUUUAAUGCUUCGAGUCUUCCCAAGAUUCCCCAUAGGAAUCCCUUAUUGCUCAGAAUCCCGAAUCUCUCCCGUGAGGUGGGUGCUGUGGCAAGGGCUCCGUCUUCUCCCGAUUUAAGGUGCUUUCUUGGUUUCUUUGCCAGAUGAAAUGAGAACAGUGACAUUGACCAUUGGUGCAUGUUGGCUGACGGAUGCUGAGGACAUAAAUAAAGGUGUGUGUGCUUCCCCCCCCCCAAGCAUUUCAAACCACCCGAGGCUGUUUCCUCCAAGGGAGUGCUGCUGUCCUGCAGAAACAGGGGGCAAGACCCCCUUCCUCAAAGCACAUUGGUCUUCUUGAGUGCUUUUCCCUGCAGAGAGGAGCCAGGAAGCGAACGGUGCUGUCAGAAAUGAUGCUUCAGGAAAAGGCACAACCCUCUAGAUGAACAAGGCAGUGCUGACUUCUCACUCCUCUCCAAGCCUUUAGGAUCCAAGAGGGUCAGGAAACAAGCACGGUGCAUCCCCACCCCGGCGAACACUGCACUGGAGAACAACACAUUGGCACUCAGCAUCAGCAACCUUCACCAGGGACCUGGGCUCCAGUGCCUUUGGGAGGAGAAACAAGGCUGACCAACUCCAAUAUGCUCUGAGAAGCAGUUCAGACAGUGGUUAGCAAAACCAGAAAGCACAGGGCUGUAUGUGGUGGGUGGCAGCUGCCAGGGAAUAGCACGGUCCCUAAAUUUUCUCUGCCUUAUACCAAAGCAAAAAUCCCAUUGGUUUCCUGGUGAGCCUUUCCUGGUUAAGGUUGGUCCACGGUUUUCCAUAGGUCUUUAAACUGAAAACAUGAAUAUCCCCUACAUGGCUAAGAAAGCUGCUCGCUUAGUUUAAGGGAUGCAGUUAUGGAACUGAAGGUCUUCGGCUCACACUUGGAGAUGAUCUGAGCUGCCAGAGGACAGCGUUGGACGCACGAGGAAUCAACGUGAAGCAGGGAUGGGGCUUGGGAUUUUAGCCCUUUGUCAGCAGAAACGGGGGCUGCCUCAGAGCAGGUUUUUUCCCUAUAGCUUUUGGCAUUUGCUGUAGGACAAACAGGAACAG